AGUAGGGAAUCUUCCGCAAUGGACGAAAGUCUGACGGAGCAACGCCGCGUGAGUGAUGAAGGUUUUCGGAUCGUAAAGCUCUGUUGUUAGGGAAGAACAAGUGCCGUUUGAAUAAGGCGGCACCUUGACGGUACCUAACCAGAAAGCCACGGCUAACUACGUGCCAGCAGCCGCGGUAAUACGUAGGUGGCAAGCGUUGUCCGGAAUUAUUGGGCGUAAAGCGCGCGCAGGCGGUCUCUUAAGUCUGAUGUGAAAGCCCACGGCUCAACCGUGGAGGGUCAUUGGAAACUGGGAGACUUGAGUACAGAAGAGGAGAGUGGAAUUCCACGUGUAGCGGUGAAAUGCGUAGAUAUGUGGAGGAACACCAGUGGCGAAGGCGACUCUCUGGUCUGUAACUGACGCUGAGGCGCGAAAGCGUGGGGAGCAAA
rnacentral:rRNA from 1 species